rnacentral:tRNA from 1 species
GCCCAGUAUAGUGGUUAGUACUCCACGUUGUGGCCGUGGCGACGCUGGUUCGAUUCCAGCCAUGGGCA